UACGGAGGAUCCGAGCGUUAUCCGGAUUUAUUGGGUUUAAAGGGUGCGCAGGCGGGGGAUUAAGUCGGCGGUGAAAUUUUGCAGCUCAACUGUAAAAGUGCCUUCGAAACUGGUUUCCUUGAGUGUAGAUGAAGUAGGCGGAAUUUGUGGUGUAGCGGUGAAAUGCAUAGAUAUCACGAGGAACUCCGAUUGCGCAGGCAGCUUACUAAACUACUACUGACGCUCAGGCACGAAGGCGUGGGGAUCAAACAGGAUUAGAUACCCCGGUAGUCCCUGA
rnacentral:rRNA from 1 species